rnacentral:rRNA from 1 species
UAGAGUUUGAUCCUGGCUCAGGAUGAACGCUGGCGGUCUGCUUAACACAUGCAAGUCGAACGCAACCUUCGGGUUGAGUGGCGGACGGGUGAGUAACGCGUGAGAAUCUGCCUUGGGGUCGGGGACAACCACUGGAAACGGUGGCUAAUACCGGAUAAGCCUUUGGGUAAAAAAUUUAUUGCCCCAAGAGGAGCUCGCGUCUGAUUAGCUAGUUGGUGAGGUAAAAGCUCACCAAGGCAGCGAUCAGUAGCUGGUCUGAGAGGACGAUCAGCCACACUGGGACUGAGACACGGCCCAGACUUCUACGGGAGGCAGCAGUGGGGAAUUUUCCGCAAUGGGCGAAAGCCUGACGGAGCAAGACCGCGUGAGGGAGGAAGGCUCUUGGGUUGUAAACCUCUUUUCUCAGGGAAGAAGCUCUGACGGUACCUGAGGAAUCAGCCUCGGCUAACUCCGUGCCAGCAGCCGCGGUAAUACGGAGGAGGCAAGCGUUAUCCGGAAUUAUUGGGCGUAAAGCGUCCGCAGGUGGCGAUUCAAGUCUGCUGUCAAAGCACGGGGCUUAACUCCGUUAAAGGCAGUGGAAACUGAAUAGCUAGAGUGCCGUAGGGGUAGAGGGAAUUCCCGGUGUAGCGGUGAAAUGCGUAGAGAUCGGGAGACAUCGGUGGCGAA